AUGACUAUAGAAACAGCGCCAAAAAGCAACAUCGUAAUCUAUGAAAGAAGAAGAAUCAACCAGGAAGAGAAGCGGAAGAUAAGAGGGAAGCAGCAAGACAAGAAAAGCACCCAAACAGAAAAAACGUUACCAAUACACAGAAGCAUGAGCUGGCAACGGUAUCUCUUCUUUACAUACCCACAUAUGUACAUAUUCAGGCAUCAAAAGCUGCCAUGAGGAAGAAGAAGAGGAGCAAGAAGCGGGCUAGAAAACGAGGAAGAAACAGUAGGCGAAGUGGAGAGCGAAGUGCAAUGGCAACAACAAAGUAAAACAACAACAAACUCAGGAGAUAAAGUGGGAAGCAAAGAUGCCUGUUUUUCUUACUUGCGACUAUGUGUGCGUGUGUAUUCAAUGCAGCAGCGGCAACCAAAACAACAAUCGAAGUACAGUGAACCGAGAGACUCGAAAAAGAUGUAAAAACACAAGUAUGCAAGAGUUAAACAAUUCUUAAAGUUAACUGGGGUGCUGAGGGAGAAAUGUAACUUCUUAACAGAGUAACAGUGAUUUGUAAUACACACUAUUUGGAAUAAAUACGCGUGUACUAUUAAUAUUGUUUUUAAUU
ensembl:ncRNA lncRNA:CR44017 long non-coding RNA:CR44017